AAUUAAUUGAUUAAUCAUAUUAAUUUCAAACCUCGAAUCAGUUAAGUUACUCUUAUGCUCUAUAAAUGGUCAAAUCAUGUUUUCAGUUCAUGCAGUUUGCAAUUUUAUACGUAGAUAUGAUCAAUGAUGAAUUCAAGACUCUAACUUCGUAGGUCCUAUUGUAAAAGAUUCUAAGCGUAUAGUGUUAAAAAAAAUCAAUUUUUUUAUUUAGGCAUUUAGUUGAGUAUUUAGUGGAGUUAUUGUUGACCCUAAAAACUACCUAACCUACGUGGCGCGCAUGCCGAUUAAUUAAUAAGCUAACUACAUCUUUCGGUCGAAUGCGGGGCGUGCCAACUCGUCCGCCGACUUCGGCCAGGAAGUAAAAUGAAUGUUGAUGUGGCAUUAGAAGCCUUGCUGACUUCUGCGUCUUGCGAUUGCGGCCAAGAAAGGAA
rnacentral:lncRNA from 1 species